rnacentral:rRNA from 1 species
GGGGUAGUAAGUCAGUGGUGAAAGCCUGCGGCUUAACCGUAGAAUUGCCAUUGAUACUGCUAUUCUUGAGUGCAGUUGAGGUAGNCGGAAUGUGUAAUGUAGCGGUGAAAUGCUUAGAUAUUACACAGAACACCGAUUGCGUAGGCAGCUUACUAAACUGUAACUGACGCUGAGGCACGAAAGCGUGGGGAGCGAACAGGAUUAGAUACCCUGGUAGUCCACGCUGUAAACUAUGAUCACUCGCUGUUGGCGAUACAUUGUCAGCGGCUGAGCGAAAGCAUUAAGUGAUCCACCUGGGGAGUACGGCCGCAAGGUUGAAACUCAAAGGAAUUGACGGGGGCCCGCACAAGCGGUGGAACAUGUGGUUUAAUUCGAUGAUACGCGAGGAACCUUACCUGGGCUUAAAUGCAGAACGACGUACCGGGAAACUGGUACUCCCUUCGGGGCGGACUGCAAGGUGCUGCAUGGUUGUCGUCAGCUCGUGCCGUGAGGUGUCGGGUUAAGUCCCAUAACGAGCGCAACCCUCAUUGUUAGUUGCCAGCGAGUAAUGUCGGGGACUCUAACGAAACUGCUGGUGUAAACCGUGAGGAAGGUGGGGAUGACGUCAAAUCAGCACGGCCCUUAUGUCCAGGGCUACACACGUGUUACAAUGGCCAGUACAAAGGGCAGCUACCACGCGAGUGGAUGCUAAUCUCUAAAGCUGGUCUCAGUUCGGAUUGAAGUCUGCAACUCGACUUCAUGAAGCUGGAAUCGCUAGUAAUCGCGCAUCAGCCAUGGCGCGGUGAUACGUUCCCGGGCAUUGUACACACCGCCCGUCAAGCCAUGGAAGCUUGGGGUACCUGAAGUCCGUAACCGAAGGAUCGGCCUAGGGUAACAAGUGACUGGG